GUGUCAGCCGCCGCGGUAAUACGGGGAUGGCGAGCGUUACUCGGAUUUACUGGGUGUAAAGGGCAGGUAGGCGGUUUUGCAAGUUGAAGGUUAAAUCCUCUGACUCAAUCAGAGACAUGCCUUCAAAACUACAUUACUUGAGGAUUGGAGAGGAGAGCGGAAUUCCCGGUGUAAGGGUGAAAUCUGUAGAUAUCGGGAGGAACACCCGUGGCGUAAGCGGCUCUCUGGACAAUAUCUGACGCUGAACUGCGAAAGCUAGGGGAGCAAACAGGAUUAGAUACCCCCGUAGUCC
rnacentral:rRNA from 1 species